GACAGAGGCCUCAAGCGUUUAGGCGGAAUCACUGGGCUUAAAGCGUGUGUAGGCGGGUCGUUAAGUACCUUGUGAAAUCCCACGGCUCACCCGUGGAACUGCUGGGUAUACUGGCGAUCUUGGGCCAUUCAGGGGCAACUGGAACAAGCGGUGGAGCGGUGAAAUGCGUAGAUAAUCGGCUUGGAACGCCAAAGGGUGAAAAACAGGUUGCUGGGAAUGUGCCGA
rnacentral:rRNA from 1 species